rnacentral:rRNA from 1 species
CGCGUAGGUGGUUGCGUCAGUCGGAUGUGAAAUCCCCAGGCUUAACCUGGGAACUGCAUCCGAUACUGCGUGACUCGAGUGCAGCAGAGGGAAACGGAAUUCCUGGUGUAGAGGUGAAAUUCGUAGAUAUCAGGAGGAACACCGGUGGCGAAGGCGGUUUCCUGGGCUGACACUGACACUGAGGCGCGAAAGCGUGGGUAGCAAACAGGAUUAGAUACCCUGGUAGUCCACGCUGUAAACGGUGAGUGCUGGGUGUGGGAGUGUAAUGCCUUCUGUGCCGAAGCUAACGCGUUAAGCACUCCGCCUGGGGAUACGGCCGCAAGGUUGAA